AGUGAACGCUGGCGGUAGGCCUAACACAUGCAAGUCGAACGGCAGCACAGUAAGAGCUUGCUCUUACGGGUGGCGAGUGGCGGACGGGUGAGGAAUACAUCGGAAUCUACUUUUUCGUGGGGGAUAACGUAGGGAAACUUACGCUAAUACCGCAUACGACCUACGGGUGAAAGCAGGGGAUCUUCGGACCUUGCGCGAUUGAAUGAGCCGAUGUCGGAUUAGCUAGUUGGCGGGGUAAAGGCCCACCAAGGCGACGAUCCGUAGCUGGUCUGAGAGGAUGAUCAGCCACACUGGAACUGAGACACGGUCCAGACUCCUACGGGAGGCAGCAGUGGGGACUAUUGGACAAUGGGCGCAAGCCUGAUCCAGCCAUACUGCGUGGGUGAAGAAGGCCUUCGGGUUGUAAAGCCCUUUUGUUGGGAAAGAAAAGCAGCAGGUUAAUACCCCGCUGUUCUGACGGUACCCAAAGAAUAAGCACCGGCUAACUUCGUG
rnacentral:rRNA from 1 species